GACGAACGCUGGCGGCGUGCCUAAUACAUGCAAGUCGAACGCAGUGGGGACGGGUGAGUAACAUGUGGGUAACCUCCCAUCAGAGGGGAUAACACUUGGAAUCAGGUGCUAAACCGAUACUGAUGGAUGGACCCGGGGUGCAUUAGCUAGUUGGUGAGGUAACGGCUCACAAAGGCCACGAUGCAUAGCCGACCUGAGAGGGUGAUCGGCCACACUGGGACUGAGACACGGCCCAGAGUCCUACGGGAGGCAGCAGUAGGGAAUCUUCGGCAAUGGACGAAAGUCUGACCGAGCAACGCCGCGUGAGUGAAGAAGGUUUUCGGGUCGUAAAGCACUGUUGUUAGGGAGGCGGUAUCUAACCAGGAAGCCACGGCUAACUACGUGCCAGCAGCCGCGGUAAUAC
rnacentral:rRNA from 1 species